rnacentral:rRNA from 1 species
ACUUUAACACUGAGGCGUGACGACGAGGCACUACGGUGCUGAAGCAACAAAUGCCCUGCUUCCAGGAAAAGCCUCUAAGCAUCAGGUAACAUCAAAUCGUACCCCAAACCGACACAGGUGGUCAGGUAGAGAAUACCAAGGCGCUUGAGAGAACUCGGGUGAAGGAACUAGGCAAAAUGGUGCCGUAACUUCGGGAGAAGGCACGCUGACACGUAGGUGAAGUGAUUUACUCAUGGAGCUGAAGUCAGUCGAAGAUACCAGCUGGCUGCAACUGUUUAUUAAAAACACAGCACUGUGCAAACACGAAAGUGGACGUAUACGGUGUGACGCCUGCCCGGUGCCGGAAGGUUAAUUGAUGGGGUCAGCGCAAGCGAAGCUCCUGAUCGAAGCCCCGGUAAACGGCGGCCGUAACUAUAACGGUCCUAAGGUAGCGAAAUUCCUUGUCGGGUAAGUUCCGACCUGCACGAAUGGCGUAAUGAUGGCCAGGCUGUCUCCACCCGAGACUCAGUGAAAUUGAACUCGCUGUGAAGAUGCAGUGUACCCGCGGCAAGACGGAAAGACCCCGUGAACCUUUACUAUAGCUUGACACUGAACAUUGAGCCUUGAUGUGUAGGAUAGGUGGGAGGCUUUGAAGUGUGGACGCCAGUCUGCAUGGAGCCGACCUUGAAAUACCACCCUUUAAUGUUUGAUGUUCUAACGUGGACCCGUUACCCGGGUUGCGGACAGUGUCUGGUGGGUAGUUUGACUGGGGCGGUCUCCUCCUAAAGAGUAACGGAGGAGCACGAAGGUUGGCUAAUCCUGGUCGGACAUCAGGAGGUUAGUGCAAUGGCAUAAGCCAGCUUGACUGCGAGCGUGACGGCGCGAGCAGGUGCGAAAGCAGGUCAUAGUGAUCCGGUGGUUCUGAAUGGAAGGGCCAUCGCUCAACGGAUAAAAGGUACUCCGGGGAUAACAGGCUGAUACCGCCCAAGAGUUCAUAUCGACGGCGGUGUUUGGCACCUCGAUGUCGGCUCAUCACAUCCUGGGGCUGAAGUAGGUCCCAAGGGUAUGGCUGUUCGCCAUUUAAAGUGGUACGCGAGCUGGGUUUAGAACGUCGUGAGACAGUUCGGUCCCUAUCUGCCGUGGGCGCUGGAGAACUGAGGGGGGCUGCUCCUAGUACGAGAGGACCGGAGUGGACGCAUCACUGGUGUUCGGGUUGUCAUGCCAAUGGCACUGCCCGGUAGCUAAAUGCGGAAGAGAUAAGUGCUGAAAGCAUCUAAGCACGAAACUUGCCCCGAGAUGAGUUCUCCCUGAGACUUUAAGUCUCCUGAAGGAACGUUGAAGACGACGACGUUGAUAGGCCGGGUGUGUAAGCGCAGCGAUGCGUUGAGCUAACCGGUACUAAUGAACCGUGAGGCUUAACCUUACAACGCCGAAG